rnacentral:lncRNA from 1 species
AUGACUGCUGCCCAGAAAGAAAGUUCUGGCUCCCUGCAAAUAACCCCUUCAUGUAAGCACUUCUGUCCCAAGUGCAGAGAACUGCAGCAUGAAUUCAGGACAGUGGAUCAUCAGACUCCUCCAGAACAGCCUUCCAUUGUUCCCCUAGAGAGCAUUAGGGUCACCUCUUUGGAUCCACCACCACCCUACAGUCAGGUGGUUCAGAUGCCAACUCCCACAGAACCACCUCCUCCCUACAGCCUCAGGCCUGAGGGCCCUGCUGGCCAGAUGAGAGGGCGUGCCUACGCAACCCUUUGAGCUUCCACACACACAAACCUCUUGGAUCAAGCCCAGGACCCUGGAAUGACUGCCUAUCCCAUCAUGUCUCUUGUCCUUUGA